GGGCUCGUGGUCUAGUGGCAUGUGACUGGCGCGGAAAAGAAAGGCGCUAAAGCGUCAUGACUUCCGCGCAUUCGGCCAAACGCGACCUUGACGUGGUUGAGAUUGUAGGUUCGAUUCCUGCCGGGCCCA
rnacentral:tRNA from 1 species